rnacentral:lncRNA from 1 species
GGAAUAUAACUACUAGUCUGGUUUGUAUAGUGAUAUGCUGUGUUUAUGUUUUUGUUAGCAGAGAAAGUAUCCAUAUUAAGACUUUAGACCUAACUCCUACCAAUUGUACAUCAGGAAAGAGCUGUGGCUGUUCUACCAUCCUCCAAAUUUCACUUAGUUUGUCAAAGAUUAUUUACUUAAUUUUCAAUAGAUACUCUAAUUGUAAACAACAGAAAAAAAACACUUUUUCAAAGGGCUAGAGAGAUGGCUAAGAGUAUAAGGGCAUUUGCUAUACUAACAAGGGACCAGGGUUCAGAUUCCAGCACACAUGGGAAUUAGCAACUGUCUGUCACUACAGGUUCAGAGAAUCUGAUGCCCUUUUCUGACCUCCUUGGCACCAACCAUACACAGUACCCACAUACUCAUGCAAAUAAACAUGCCCACACCUAAAAUGUAAUAAAAACAGUUUUAAAAAAUGUUUUAAAAAUAUAAAACAUCCAAACAUCAAUACAAAGUAUGCAAUGGAUAUUUGUGAAGAAAGAUACUGCAGUGGGCUUAGCUAGUGUUAUUGAAACAUUAUAGAAAUGUGGCCAAAUGCUUGAGGAAAUGUAUUGAAAAGAAGAAAGGUUGGAGGUUGAUGAAGCAGGACAAUGAUGGCUCAAAGGAAAAAAAAAAGUGGUUGGAGAUUUCCUCCUUGGAUGCUUCUGAAAGCAAUGGCAACCAGAGAUGAUUGUUUUGAGAUUAAGUGUUAAGACAAAGUAGAGGGCAUCACAUUUAGAUUGCUAGAAGUUGGGGAAAGAAGAGAUAUCUAUGUUGUAGGCAAAGGCAUUCAUUGCCAAGUCUUGGCAGAGUGGAAAAGGAGAAAGAACGACACAUGUUAUGGCUUCAAUGAGAAAUGUAACCCAUUGUCUCAGGUAUUUGAAUAUUUGGUCACCAGCUUAAGGCACUAUUUGGAGAGGCUUGGUAAUUAUGACCUUGUUAACCGUAUAUCACUGAAGGAAAGUUUUAAAGGAUCCUGUCAUUUCUAGUUUUUUCUCUAUGCUUUGCACUUGCAGUUCAGGGUUCAGCACUUCUCAGCUCCCACUGCUGCCAUGCCUGUGGCUUCCUGUGCUGGUGACUAGGUUCUUAUCCCCCUGACCCAUAAGCCCAUAUAAACCUUUCUUUCCCCAAAGUUGCCUUGGUCACGGUAUUUUGUCACAGCAAUAGAAAAGUAACUAAUACAAUUUAUUAUUAAAUCUUGAUUGAUGUGGCCCCCCUCACAUUGAACCCGAUACAGCUAACUUCUGCUGAAUCUCUCUACAGUUCAAUGAAGCAUGGGUACACAUUUUGAGGAAUGUGUCUCUAUGCUUGACAUCACUGGAGAGUCAAUAAAAAUACUGAGGUGGUAGUUCAAUGUUGUAAAUCAGAAUCUUCUGUACUCAGUCUGAAAAACGUUUUUAUGAAAGAUAUCCAGAUUAUAUGUCUGAGUGGGUAAGUUUUGGAAAGUUAAAUUUUCUUCUACUCUUCUGAGUUCUUGGCUUGAAGAAAUAUUUGAAAGGGCAAAACAAAUGGAAGUUUGUUAGCAUGUGUGGUGUUUUGAAUGAAAAUGGUACCCACAGAACCGGACAGCUUCUGGGACAGGCAGAGCCACAGAGCCUCUGAGACAGCACCCUUUUUGGGUCACAGACAGCCGGCCACCCUCCCGACCAGAGGAUAGGUGUCCGCCUGGCUCAGAAGCCCUCAGCCUCAGGAGCAGUGGACGCCAUCUUGGUUCCAGGACUCCGCUGAACUUAGGAACUUAGUCUGCACAGGUGAGAGUGUGCACCACAGAAGCUGA